AGUGGUAUGGCGAAGUGGCGAACGCGGCGGACUGCAAAUCCGCUAUUCGCGGGUUCGAUUCCCGCUGCCACCU
rnacentral:tRNA from 1 species